rnacentral:lncRNA from 1 species
CACUCAACAUGAAAAUGAUGAGUAUGAAGACCUUUAUGAUGAUCGACAUGGCACUUAAUACAUAAGAUAGUGUCUCGCUAUGUUGCCCAAACUGGUGUCAAACUCUUGGCCUCAAGUGAUCUUCCUGCCUCGGCCUCGCAAAGUGCUGGGAUUGCAGGCAUGAGCCACUGCACCCAGCCCAAGAACUUAAUAUUUUUAGUAAGAACAUUUUCCAGCAAUUCUUUUUCAAAAAGGUGGGCCAAGAAUUCACUUUGGCAGACCUUUGAGGAAUCACUGGGAAGAUGCCUCUAAAUUACAUAUUCUAGGAUGAGGAGGUACCAAGUAUCCUAAGGAAGGAAUAAAAUGGAAAAUUUGUGGUUGAUGAAGACUGCUUCAUGAAGACAUCAUUUGGUGUGCACAGGUGAUCACAUUGUAGAAGAAGAAUGAUGCUGUGGAGGAAUCAGGAAUGUUUUGGAAUGAAAGGGAUUGAGAUGCUGGUGACUUUCGUUUUCAGAAUCAACUUGAUUAGAAUCAAACUGAGAGGUUAGGAUGGUCCCAGCUGAGGUCCAUGGGUCAGAAAGGACUCCAAAGUCCCUGAAGUGGAACUCACUGUAUUGGAAGGAGAAGUCAACCCAGCCCAACACUAGGGGCCAAGUGUAUAGGCACCAUGUGGAAUUGGGACUGGCAGCUGACUUUGGAACCACUUCCCACAGUGGAUUUGGUUCACAAGUGGGUGUGGCCUGCAGGAGUGGAAGCAGGAAGCCCCAAAGAUGGGCAACACUAGCCCUUCAGGGAUCCUGGCCUGUAAGCAUCACUUCAGUGGGAAAGUGUUUUUGAGCAUUGUGCAGGACCACCACCAGCUUCCAAAUUUUCCUAUUCAACCCUCCAACUGGCACUUAGAAGCAGAAUGACUUGAAUGAAGUAAUUUACCCUUGGUGCCAUCAGACAAUUCAGGAGUGGGGCGGUCUCAAGCAGAAGACUUCCUGCUUGGGUUACUAAUUGAAAAAAAAACCACACUAAAGAACGUGACUUCAUUUGCACCCCAAGCUGAUGAAGAGAACCAUACUAUAACAUGCUCCAGCUUAGACUCUAACUGAAGAGUGCUCUCCUUCCAUGCCAGAAGGCAUAAACGUAGAACAUUACUUCUGCCUUCCUCCACAGGGCAUGCAGAAUGCUGAUGGGGGCAGAGCCUAAAAGGACACAAAAUGCUCAGUUAGAUUAGAGUGAGAGACAAACUGAGUCUAACAUCAUAGAAAAAAUAAUUGCCCUGUUAACGGGGAACUCAUCACAAACAUUUUGUUGGGUGUAUUAUAGGGCUGCAAAGUCUUUUUUGCAAUAUACCUUUCUUUUGCUUCUAAGGUAUUGUAUUAGUCCGUUCUCACCCUGUUAUAAAGAACCACUGGAUACUGGGUAAUUUGUGAAGAAAAGCAGUUUAAUUGACUCACAGUUCCACAGGCUGUACAGGAAGCACAGCUGGAAGGCCUCAGGAAACUUACAAUCAUGGCAGAAGGGCGAAGGGGAAGCAAGACACGUCUUCACGUGACCAGAGCAGGAGGAAGAGAGAGCGAAGUGGAAAGUACCACACACUUUUAAACUAUCAGAUGUAGUGAGAACUCACUCAGUAUCAUGAGAACAACAAGGGGAAAAUCUGCCCCCAUAAUUCAAUCACCUCCUACCAGGCCCCUCCCCCAACAUUGGGAAUUACAAUUCAACAUGAGAUUUGGGUGGGGACAUAGAGCCAAAUCAUCUCAGGU